GUCAGUUGCGAAAGAAAGAGAGAACAAAAGAAGAAACAACGAAGAAGAGAAGACGGAGUCUCCGACUCUCCAUUGGUCAAAAAAAGAGUCUGCAAAGACUGAAAGAUCCUUUUUCAGCCCUUGGGGAAGAUUCGUAGGUUGCUUGAUUCUGCUUGGAUUUUAAUUUUUUUUUUUGCGAAAUGAUCUGCUUGCUUCAGGUUAGGAUUUGCACAGACUGUGCAUCAUAAGGAUCAAUUUGUAUCAGUUUAGCAUAUUAUGGCAUCUUCUGGUAUGGGUCCAGUUGGAAAACCCGGUAGUGGCGUUGCAUUAUUUGCUGAUAAACUUCCGGAGGGGAUUAAUGAAAUGAAGAUCAGAGAUGAGAAGGUUGAAAAGGAUAUGGAAGCCACAGUGGUUGAUGGAAAUGGUACAGAAACUGGACAUAUAAUUGUAACUACCAUCGGUGGUCGAAAUGGUCAAUCCAAACAGACAAUAAGUUACAUGGCAGAGCGCACGGUUGGGCAGGGAUCCUUCGGUAUUGUAUUUCAGGCUAAGUGCCUUGAGACUGGAGAAACUGUUGCUAUCAAGAAGGUCCUUCAGGAUAAGAGAUAUAAGAAUCGUGAGUUGCAAACAAUGCGCCUUCUCGAUCAUCCUAAUGUUGUUUCUCUGAAACACUGCUUUUUUUCCACAACGGAAAAGGAUGAGCUUUAUCUUAAUCUGGUGCUUGAGUAUGUACCUGAGACAGUUUAUCGGGUAAUAAAGCACUACACAAAGGCAAAUCAGCGGAUGCCUCUCAUAUAUGUCAAGCUUUAUGCCUAUCAGAUAUGUAGAGCUCUAGCCUACAUUCACGGAGGAAUAGGAGUAUGCCAUAGGGAUAUUAAGCCGCAGAAUCUACUGGUUAAUCCCCAUACUCAUCAAGUCAAGCUAUGCGAUUUUGGAAGUGCAAAAGUUCUGGUGAAAGGCGAGCCAAAUAUAUCAUAUAUUUGUUCUCGUUAUUAUCGAGCACCUGAACUAAUAUUUGGGGCUACUGAAUACACUACCGCAAUUGAUAUAUGGUCUGCGGGCUGCGUUCUUGCUGAGUUACUUCUUGGACAGCCUCUCUUUCCUGGUGAGAGUGGCGUGGAUCAGCUUGUUGAGAUAAUCAAGGUACUUGGGACUCCUACCCGUGAAGAAAUCAAGUGUAUGAACCCCAAUUAUACUGAGUUUAAAUUCCCACAAAUCAAGGCACAUCCCUGGCACAAGAUAUUUCACAAGCGAAUGCCACCAGAAGCAGUGGAUCUUGUCUCAAGACUCCUCCAGUACUCUCCAAAUCUUAGGUGCACUGCUUUAGAGGCAUGUAUCCAUCCUUUCUUUGAUGAACUCCGCGAUCCCAAUACUCGUCUUCCAAACGGGCGCCCCCUGCCUCCUCUCUUCAACUUCAAACCCCAAGAGCUAAAAGGUGCAACUUUAGAGCUCCUCUCCAAACUCAUCCCAGAACAUGCUCGGAAGCAGUGCUCUUUCCUUGAUUUUUAGAUCAAAACACAACGUGAAUGUUAUUUUCCUCGUCAGAUUCAGACAGGCCCAUGAAGCCCAAACAGGCAUUCAAUCCAAAAACUAAAAAACGUCAUCUUAUCAAAGAAUAGUGAACUUGAAGAGGCACCAUAUUGAAGGGGAUGAGCACAUUAGAAAAAUCAAGAGAUCAUGUAAUGUUUAUAAGAUAUAUGGACAACUCAUUUUAUUACAAUUGGUUUUGAGAUAGAAUUAUAUGGGGGGCGUUUGGGAACUCUAGAAAAAGGGAGGUGGCUAGUCAAGGAGCAGGGGUGGCUUGGCUAUGAUUUGGAUUAACAGAAAGCACCAUAUAAUUAAAUAGCAUAAACUUCUCCGUUAUCGUCUUUGGAUUCGUAAAUUGUUAAAAACCCAUGUUGGACUUUCACUUUCUUGUCGUUUCGAUCGAUUUUCUUCAGCUUGGGUUUCAAAUCGGUGUAACCAUCCCUCUCCAAUCAACGAGGAUAUCUCUCCGGUCGAUUCUGUCCCUUUCCUCGUCCUCGUUGAAAUGGUGUUUAAGAAACUAUAAAACAGAGAAAUAAUGGAAAUAGAGAAAGCUCGACGAGGAAGAUGAUGAUGGAGAAGAAAUAGGGGAAAGAGAGAGGAAUUGAUUUUUUACCCAAAA